rnacentral:rRNA from 1 species
GUCUACAGUCAUACCUCCCUGAACGCGCCUUAUCUCAUCUGGUCUCAGAAGCUAAGCAGGGUAGAGCCUGGUUAGUACUUGUAUGGAAAAAAGAUCUUCAAAGGAGACUGCUCAGAGACAAAAAGUUUGGAGACA